ACAGGAAUGCUUCAGAUGUGUACUUGGUCUCUCACUAAUACUGAUGCAAGUGUUUCCCUAGGGGAAGGCCUGUAUCUGCACCCCAACUAUAUUGAUCCUUUACAGACGACUGGUUACCUAUCUUUCAAAAGAGUGCGGCAAAUUAGGCUCAAGUGCAUGUGGGUGUCUUUCUGACCAAGCGUGCAAGGGUAGCAGGGGAUUCGAUGUGAGUUUGAGUGCCUGCAUUCUGGUGUACCAAUAAAAAUGCAUUCUCAGCAUUUUGGGUGUGUGUCUGGAAAUCUGUCUGGGUAUCCAAGUCUCAGAGACCGCAUGCAAAGGCCCUGCAGUAUGAACAUGCGUGCCAUCUCCAUGGAGUCCUGACCUCCCACCAUCCCACGAAAUGGGAUGACACUUGGCAUCUUCCACAAGAUCCAUGCAAAAUUUCACUGAGGGGCUGUUGACAUAGGCUCUAGGCUCCCAAUCUCCAUGAACCAUGAUCUCUGACCAACGCAGAGACCUGACUGCCCAGGGUCACCUUGCGGAGAAUCUGUGUGAAUGCCACAUACCCUGAGACUACGUGAGCUACUACUAUAGCUCAGGGGUCCUUGUCACAAGUCCUACCUCCUACCUAACAAGAAAAUUUUCCCAGACAACUGCACAGUAAGGUGAACUUGGCACUAGGGCAGAUAUGGCCCACUGCACCCUCCAAUAGGAAAAGAAUUCAGGGCAUGCGUAUCUUCCUGCCAGUCAGCCCCAAUCAAAGUCCAGCCUCCCCUGGAAACUGCAAGAUGGAACCUGGUCAUCCUCAGGUACCAGGAACCAGGGGUCACUCCCACAGAAACGGGAUUCCUUUCCUGGCCAGAUUAUCCUCAAAUCUACAGCCUGCAGGGCCCUGGGUACUGACCACACCCUAGAGAAAGCUCUCAUAAUGCAGGGCUUGGUCCAAAUUGAAUUCAUUAUGCAACAAAGGGCGACUCACCUAAAUCUGAAGCCUCCAGGGCCUCGGCUCACAGGGACAAUGAGCAUCCAGCAAGACCCACAGGAAGAAGGCGGGCAACACGACCAAGGGCUCACAGGGACAAUGAGCAUCCAGCAAGACCCACAGGAAGAAGGCGGGCAACACGACCAAGGGCUCACAGAUCACAAGGGAUGCUUUCAGGAAGACUUCAGAAGACCUGCCAGGGAAGACCGUGGAUGUGCCAGGUCUCUGCAUAGUGCCAUGGGAGCUGUUGUCUCCUACACUGAGGCAGCCUUGGUAUGCCAACCAAUGAGCAAUGUCUAUCACAACUGUGGUGGUCCUCAAAGGUUGAUGCGUUCACUGCCAGGGGGCCAAACACAUGGGUGCUAUCAGGGCUGGCCGGCUGGCCCCAACCUUAGGGAAUCUUGAUAAUUCCAGGCCGAAGAGACAAAUGGCGGCCAAGGGGCAUGUGCGUACACCACGUAACUACCCACUGGGCUGGUUCCUUGGCCUCUUUAUUGCAACUCUUCAAGGCACCAAAGAUGCCCUUUGAGAGUCCUUCUACUGGCAGUGGGACAACAAGGCCACAAGGUCACCUUUCACCGAGCCUCCUAAGGACAAGCAAUGCCCUGUCCUCUGUACCCAGCUGAUGGCAGCUCCAAAAGGACCCCACGUAUAUUACUGAAAACAGAACAACAGUGCCUGCAAGCCUAGCGGACAUAUUGUCCCAGUAAAUCACACUGCACUUUUCCUCACCUGCACAAACAUUCUUCUCUGGGCCUCUGGCCAACCUGCAGGAGGAAUGCAGGCCUAGGACCACAGCAUAGUCCAUGGCGACCUCCAAGACUCAAGCAUGUGACAGGAGUUGCAAUUCAGCCACUGCCAAGGGCAGAAAUGGGCCUAUUAACUUUCACAACUGCCACCACCAUUCCCCCAGGUCUCUGCAGCCACUGCAGCCCACAUGGCACUCAGGAAUCUCAGCAACCCAAAGGGAUGCAACGGCGAGGGCCUCAGACCUGACCUGGGGCUCCAAUCACAAACCACAGAAGCUUCAUUGCUUUAGAAUCGACAUCACCAGAGCCCCCAUUAGUGCAUCUGCAGCAGGAAUCAGGACAAAAUGCACCUUUCCAAGCUAAGACGUCAACUGUCUGAGGCUAGGAUCUACUGCGACACCUACCACCACUGGACAAGCCAGAUGGCUCUAUUCCUCAGUGCCUUUACAUGGACCUUGUAUUCCAAGAGGGCCGCUAGAAUAUCUGUACAUGGCCCACCCUCAGACGGGAGCCUCGCAAAUGGUGGUGACCUGGCUCCUCCAUGCGUGUUGUGACACAGUCGGAGACGCCCUCACUGCUAACAGUCCCACCCUUAACCCCAAGGGAGGCAACGUGCUGGACCUCAGUUUCGAUGAGGAGACGGUAGUGAGUUCUCA
rnacentral:lncRNA from 1 species